rnacentral:rRNA from 1 species
CCUGCCCAGCAGAACGACCCGCGGACGCGUUAUCGAACAACACCGCGAGGGGGUGCGGAUGCAUUCGUGCCCCCGGCCCCCUCGAUGCCUCGGCGUGCGUGACCUAGCCUUGCCUUGCCGUGCCUCCUGGGCGGGCGAGAACGGGCGGUCUCGUAGCUCGCGGCCUAACAACAAACCCCCGGCGCGAAUCGCGCCAAGGAAUCGGAAUGAAAAGGGGCACGUCCGCCGUCGCCGCCCCGUUCGCGGUGUUCGUGCGACGGCCGACGUGACUCCUUCGUCGCUAAAUCAUAGAACGACUCUCGGCAACGGAUAUCUCGGCUCUCGCAUCGAUGAAGAACGUAGCGAAAUGCGAUACUUGGUGUGAAUUGCAGAAUCCCGUGAACCAUCGAGUCUUUGAACGCAAGUUGCGCCCCAAGCCAUUAGGCCGAGGGCACGUCUGCCUGGGUGUCACGCAUCAUCGCCCCCCGUCCAACGCUCGGCCCCUCGGGCUCCGUUCGGCGCGGGGGCGGAAGUUGGCCUCCCGUGCGCUCCCCGCUCACGGUUGGCCUAAAAUCGAGUCCUCGGCAACGAUAGCGCCGCGACGAUCGGUGGUAACGCAUCGAGCUGCCUCGUCUCCGGUCGCGUGCGCUAGUCGUUCGUUCGGACGUCGGAACCCCCUUGGCAUCGCGCGCACGAUGCUCGCAUCGCGACCCC